AGGAUAAUAGUUAAUAAUAACAAUUGAGUUGCAUUCAAAAAGUACUGAACUUCAGUUUAUCUUU
rnacentral:tRNA from 1 species